UACGGGGGGAGCAAGCGUUGUUCGGAAUCACUGGGCGUAAAGGGAGUCUAGGCGGUUUGGUAAGUGGGAUGUGAAAUGCCCCGGCUCACCCGGGGACCUGCAUCCCAAACUGCUGAGCUUGAGUACAGGAGAGGGUGGGGGAAUUCCAGGUGUAGCGGUGAAAUGCGUAGAUAUCUGGAGGAACACCGGUGGCGAAGGCGCCCACCUGGCCUGCUACUGACGCU
rnacentral:rRNA from 1 species